UUCAAAUGUACUUUUGAUUGUUGCUCAGAAAGCCCUUAUAUUUUAGUUGGCUUUCGAGUAAUAAUUAAAAAACAAAUUUGUA
rnacentral:pre_miRNA from 12 species